GAGCUGUCGCCGCCUGGAGCUGCUGCUGCUCGCCCGGAGUCGCCGCUGGCUGGCCUGCGAUCGACGGCCAGCAGCUCGCUGGAGGAGCGCCGCCGUCAGCCGCUGCCGUUGGCAGCAAGAAUCCGGCAGCCGCCUCUCCUGGAGUCGCCGUCGCCGUGAGUCGCUGUGAGGAGCCGAGCACCGUCUCACAAAGAUCGGAGACAACCGCGGCUCCGUCGCCGUCCGUCAACCGCCGGCGACGACGAGCCACCGAGGCUGCCCUCCCCCUGACCUCGACUCACACACGCAAUCAGCCAACACAAAGGGUUUUUGUGCGAGAAUCAUAUACUGUAAUUGCUCAAAUAAAAGUUUUAACUCUUUCCUUGUAACUUCAGUUCACAAGUACAUAUUUAGUAACUGUAAAUCUAUGAAUUUGCUACUCAUUUUCUUCAUUUAUCAAAGCAUAUGUAAAUCUGAGUUAAUGAGCAUGUGUUGGUAUUCUGGAAUUGAUGUAUACAAUUGAAGGAUAAUAUAUAAAUUAGAAAUAUAAA